UUUGUGUUAUUUUUGUGUAAAGUGUGAUAGUUGGUUUUCCUGAUCACGACCACCAAGCCAUGCCCACAGAACCAGUAGGGAAAAUUUUUGAAUUUCACCAUUGGCAUAAAGUGUAAACUACCGAGCAGUACUUCAAGGUAGAAUGAGCCAGACAGGUCCAAUAAUAACAUUUUAAGAUAAAACAAAUUAGAAUCAUUAGGUAUUUAGUAAAAAAAUGGAAAUAACAACUUCUGGCAUGCUUCUGCAUGGAAGGAACAAUAAAGCAUAACAUGUUCUGUUAAUUCAAUCAUUCUACCACUGCAUGGGCAUAGUCUUUAUUGGAAGGGAAUAUUUUUGUAACUUCUUUCCGUUAAUAGUUGUUGUAAGCGCGUUGAAUCUAGGUAGAGAAGGCCCUUCUGAAUUUUGUGAUCAUUAUGUGACUGAGAUAUCUAGCUGGUUGGAGAUUAUGCAGAGUGGUUCAAGAUAGGUGUUUCUUGAGCCACUCUGGCUGAGAAGUUGGCUUGCAAUCGUAAAUGACCUGCUUUCUGAGAUCAGUUGGAGCACAUUCGUAGUCCAUCAAGAUGAUGGCCAUGAACAGCCAGAGAGCUGCAGUUUGGCUUGUAUUACCUGGCUCCAGGAGCACUGGAAGGUAUUGAUCAUCAUUAGAGAGGCCAGACCAACUGGAAAGAAAAAGAUCUUAAGCUGGUGGCAGAAGUUGUGAAUCCAGGUAGAUGUUUCAAUUUUGAGAAGGCUAGCAUCACCGUGAAGGACUGUAUUACAAAUGCAGGGAGGUUUUUGAAAGAUGGUUCUCAGAAAUUUAGAGUUCUUUCCAAGGGAAGAAAUGACUUGUAGGGGCUCAACUGAGCUCCAAAACAGAGCUGUGCUUGAGUCUUAGCUGAGAAGAGUUUAAUUGCUGCAGGUACAUAUGCUAGUAUACUUUAGAAAAGUAAAAGGAUUGUAAAAACCUGGUUUUUGUCAUUUAAUAUGACAUAGGAAGUAUGAGAUUUGCAUUUAUCUAUAGUUUGGAGACUAGAUUGGAAGAUAAUCUCCCAAAUAAUUAAAGACUUUCUUUAUUACAGGGGUCUGCAGCUGUAAACACUCAGAGCCAUUUGGACUCGUUUCCCACAGAAAACAAAACACCGAGAGCCACAAAACAUGGUCCGCAUAGAAAAGAAGAAAACUGACGUAUUUUGAGAGCCAGUAUUGGUUCCGUGGAAGUGGUAUUUGUCUCUCAGUUCUUCCAGAAUAAUACUAGAAUCACUAAAGAAUGAAGAAUAAAGAUGACCUACUUACCUGUGAUAGUCUUGUGGAAGAACUGGGCAGUAACGGCCGAGUGAAUUUUUUUUGAGAUCCAAUGGCAGCUGGAAAUGGUGGUGCGGAGAACAUGGCUGCUACCACAUUAAUCCGUGUGAUCCAGGAAUGCAUUUGUUCUGUGUUCCUGGAGUAAGAUGUAAAAGAGGUAUCAUUCUCUAAACCGUAUCAUGGGUCAAAACACCUUGCCAAAAUUGUUUCUUUCAAAAAAUAACUUGUUCUCAUAACUGUGCACAAAAGAAAUCCCCAUUUCUUUGUAGAAACUGAUAAAACAAU